UACGUAGGGUGCGAGCGUUAAUCGGAAUUACUGGGCGUAAAGCGUGCGCAGGCGGUUCGUUGUGUCGGUGGUGAAAUCCCCGGGCUCAACCUGGGAAUGGCGUUUGGGACUGGAAGUCUGGAGUGCGGCAGAGGAGACUGGAAUUCCUGGUGUAGCAGUGAAAUGCGUAGAUAUCAGGAGGAACACCGAUGGCGAAGGCAGGUCUCUGGGCUGACACUGACGCUCAUGCACGAAAGCGUGGGGAGCAAACAGG
rnacentral:rRNA from 1 species